ACUCCUACGGGAGGCAGCAGUAGGGAAUCUUCCACAAUGGGCGCAAGCCUGAUGGAGCAACACCGCGUGAGUGAAGAAGGGUUUCGGCUCGUAAAGCUCUGUUGUUAAAGAAGAACACGUAUGAGAGUAACUGUUCAUACGUUGACGGUAUUUAACCAGAAAGUCACGGCUAACUACGUGCCAGCAGCCGCGGUAAUACGUAGGUGGCAAGCGUUAUCCGGAUUUAUUGGGCGUAAAGAGAGUGCAGGCGGUUUUCUAAGUCUGAUGUGAAAGCCUUCGGCUUAACCGGAGAAGUGCAUCGGAAACUGGAUAACUUGAGUGCCGAAGAGGGUAGUGGAACUCCAUGUGUAGCGGUGGAAUGCGUAGAUAUAUGGAAGAACACCGGUGGCGAAGGCGGCUACCUGGUCUGCAACUGACGCUGAGACUCGAAAGCAUGGGUAGCGAACAGGAUUAGAUACCCUGGUAGGAUAGCG
rnacentral:rRNA from 1 species